GUCUCAUUCGAAGCAAGAGCUUCCAGAGAGCGGCAACGUGGUGUCCAACACACAGACCUGGGUGUUUUCAUCCAAGAUGGUCUGAGACGCUGGGAUUUUCCUCUGUGCUAUUAAAACAGAAGGCUGGAGGACAAGGGGAUUGAUCCAUUAAAAGUGCGAUAUUAAGUGCUUCACAGUUGAUUUUCUGAAGAAUGAAAAAAGAAGAGGAAGAAAAAAAAAUCACUGAAUCAUCACUGAAGAGUUGUAUUCAUCAUUGUCUGUAAAUUGCAUUUUUAAUGUGUUUUGAAAAAUUUAGAUUUAGAAGAUGAGCUUGAUUACUUUUUUUAUUUAUUUUUUAUUUCUACCUUGAGAUAUUAUUUUCAAGAGAGUGUGAGAAAUUUGUCCCUCCUGUUAUCUGAGCAAACAUUCAUCUCUGCUAAAUCAACUGUGCAUGUUAACUGCAUGUUAUGCAAAUAUGUGGAAAUGAGAAGUUUGGAGGCAGUUCGAUAUGAGCGAGAGACUGGAGAGAUAACGUAACUAGAAGAGUGACCGACUGUGAAAGACAGUUGGAAAGUGAGAAAGUGAGGUUUAUGUGUGCCUGCCCAGCCCACCCCUGUGCGUCCACAGUGGCAGCGAAUGCUGUAAUCUCAUUAUUCUGCUCUGGGAGGCUGGCUGUCGGCCCUGGAACUACGAUUUACACAUGGCAUUUCAACAGGGAGGGGAGGGCCUGCUAUCGAUGAAGCGCCCUGUGACAUUUAUCCAUUUGACACGUUCCUCUCUCUCUCUCUUUCUUUUUCUAACUUACAUGCACAAACACCAAAUGUGCUUGCCAUUUCACUAGAACCAUAACACAGCUAUAUAAUGUUUAUUGGCACUAUAGUUUUAGCCAGCAUCAUAGGGAUUUCAACAAACUAAGAGAUAAAUGAAUAUUUCACCCCAAAAUGUAGAAGUCUUGUUGAUGAACCAUGUUGAUGUCAAGAAACGUAAUGACAGAAAUUUUACACAUCUGGGAAAACUAAAGAAAUAAGCGUGCUAUAUUGUUUUGUGUUCCACAGAAGAAAGAUAACCAUAUAUGUUAUACAGGUUUGGAAUAACUUAUGACAGAGUAAAUAUGACACAGAGUUGAUUAUAUUUUUUAAAGAUGCUGCAUGUCCUGAGUCGCAGAACUUAUAUUUUCUUUGGAAAAUGUAACAUUUUAGUUUUUAAAUCGUAAUCUGACUAAAGUAAUAAAAAAUGAACUCAUAAUGACCUCACAGAAAUUCUGCUUUUACUCUUCUGAGCUCUGCACAACUCUGCAAGUCUUCUCCAUUCUUUUCCAAAACGCUGCUAAUUUUACAUUAAUAUUAAAGCAGAUGCACAGACUUUAAAGGAUAUUUAAACCAAAGAGCCAAUUACCGUCAACAUACUGCUUCAGAAAACCUGUCAUCUGACUUUUCUCUACAAUAAGUACAUUCAUAUUGACCUGAUUUUAUGGCAAAGGCAAUAAUGUGUCCAUAACCACUCAGAGGAACUGACAAAUACAUUAAUCUCCACUCUCCUGCAUUUCGUUUCACUGCUGACAUAGCUAUUUACUGACAGUUAGUGGUAUUUCAGCAUUAAUAAUGGAAAAGAUGCCAUCCACCACACCACCAUGAAUAGGCUAAUGGCAGCAAACUGCAUAUUUGGAGUUUUUCAUCUUUCUUGUAAUGCCACAGUGCAAGAAUCAAGAAUAAAAAAUAAUUGAUGUGCAUGAAAUUACAUUUAUUAGCUGCCAUUGAUCGAUGUCUUUUGAAAACACAACAUUUUCUUUUUUCUUUUCUUUUCAGGGCAAAAAUACUGGUUAUGAAGAUAAUUUUUGUAGUGUUUUGAAUGUUGAAUAGCCACAGAGCAUAAAUGGAAUGUUGGACUUUAUUUUUGCAAUAGAUUUUUGAGGCUUUAUCUCGAAGAUGUACAAGUAAUGGGAAUAUCAUUAUUGCGGACUCUGAAUGUUGAGGCUUCCAUUGCACAAGAAAAGAGAAUAGAGUGCUACAAAAUGCCCUAUCAGCUCGCUCUCACAGUUAAUGCUGCGCUGGGGCUUCUCAUGCCAAGUGAGUGGAAUAAACAGCAGAAAGCAGACAAGAGAAAAUGCAGACAGGACCACAAAGGGCAGAGCCUCUCAAGCCAAUUAAAUGAGAGAGAAUGGCACACAGACAGGAAAUUUCUCCUGACCUCCCUGCCUUCCUCUGAAAGGUUACAGGGAUGUAAAUGUAGUCUCUGUGGAGAAUAUUGAUAAUCAUGCUUCUCUUUUGUUGGGCUGUGUGGUUUUGUAAUGGGCCCAGGAGAGAUGGGAUUUUAGAAUGCAAUUCAGAGACUUAGUGAUUUUGUAGAAGAUACCGAAGGUUUAUAUGCUUUACACUUAGUGUAAAAUUUAACAAAUUAGAAAUAUCACAAAUUAGUUCUCCUUAAUAUCUCAUAUUUUCUUGUAGGGGGCAUUGAGAUGAGUGAAUGAGUUUUUCAGUUUCCUGGUUAGGUUUUUCAUCUUGAGAAAAAUAGCCCAGCAAUCUCUCAUGUGUCUCGGAGUUGUCUCAAAUUGUGCUCAGAUAUGUAAAGAUACAAAAGUCUGCAGUCUAAAGUCAAAAUGAACUCAAUUUAAUCAAAUUCUCCCUAAAUCAAAUUACCUCAGCAAUCCACUUUUGUUUUAUGCUCUAUGCUGAACCUGAGCAUUAAAUCUUUGAGCGAAGCACUGAGAACAAACAAACAAGCAUACAGAGACUGAGUUGUUGCAAUCAAUCCACUAUCACUGAGUUCAGUGAUAAUGUAUGCAAGUCAAUAUAUUUAAAUAAGUCAUCUGCAUGAUGACAAAAGCCAUUUGAAAGAGCAUAAUUUUCAUUGAUCAAGCUCCCUUCAGAUCUGUAUGUUGUCAAUGUUUGUUAAAUAGCUUUAACAAGCAUUUAAAAGAGCCUUGUGAGAAAUCAAAAGAGUGCUUAGUGGGAAUCUACAUAAAGACGAACCUGCAUUGAUCCAAACCCACUGUAGCUCUUUUUGUGCUGGAUAUGCGAAAUGAAAGAAGGCAAUUAUAACUCUGCUUUGUAUAAUGUUGACAUAAUUCAGAGAUUAAUUCAGAUUUGCCUCAGAUGAGCAGUGAACAGUUCAUUUAUGUGUGUGUGGACUGUGUUAGGUUUGUGAUGUUUGCAUGGUGACUGAGCACAAAAGAGAAGUCAGAGGUCACAGAUUUGAACCAUUCAUCAGAAAACCAUAGCAACAGUCACAGCGUAGCAGCUGUCAGGUAAUGACACUUACUGACUGGUGUGUGUCUUUGUGUAGAGGGGGAUGGUGGUGUCUUUACACAAAUCAUUCAUCAACUGGAGAGUGACAUAUGUCUCUUUAAGUGCCAAACCAUUACUGUAUACAAACCAUUCAAAUCUCACAAAUCUUUCAAAUAUACCAUAAUUUUCACUAAAAUACUAUGUGUUCUUGUAGCUCAAGUGGUAAGCCAUUGCAAGGUUGGGGGUUCGAAUCCC